rnacentral:siRNA from 1 species
AAAGCACACAUCUUCGUAGCCGCC